GUGCCUACGGGACGCAGCAGUGAGGAAUAUUGGUCAACGGGCGUAAGCCUGAACUAGCCAAGUCGCGUGAGGGACGACGGCCCUACGGGUUGUAAACCUCUUUUGCCGGGGGACAAACGGCGGCACGCGUGCCGUCCUGAGGGUACCCGGAGAAAAAGCAUCGGCUAACUCCGUGCCAGCAGCCGCGGUAAUACGGAGGAUGCGAGCGUUAUCCGGAUUUAUUGGGUUUAAAGGGAGCGUAGGCCGGUCUUUAAGCGUGCCGUGAAAUUUUGUGGCUCAACCAUGAGAGUGCGGCGCGAACUGGA
rnacentral:rRNA from 1 species